GCCCGGGACGGGGCGUUCGGGUCCUCCGCCAUGGUCCGCGGCAGGCGCGGCCCCUCCUCCCGCGCCCGAGUGAGCGCCUGCGGGGCCGGCCCGGGGCCCGGGAAGGGAGCGGCCCGGCUCCGGGGCAUCUUCCACAUCGGCAAGAGGAGCUGCGACGUGGUCCUCACCGACACGGCCCUCGCCUGGAGGCCCAUCCGACCCCAACCGCCCCGCGGUGAUUCCGAGGCAUCCCCUGCUGAGAAGGAGGAAUUGCUUGAGCUCAAGGACAUAUUCUCAGUGAAACUGAAAAGGCGACGUUCAGCAAAACGGCAAAGUGGUGGUACUUUGUUAGGGAUCACACUUUUUGUAUGCAAGAAAAAAGAGCAGAAUAAGCUAGAAGAUUACACCGUUCAUCUUCACAAUUUAAGUGAGGACCACUGUGAUUUGUGGUUUAGACAUUUAAAGACAAUCUUAACCGGUUUUCCGAACAGGCCCAAAUCCCUAAAAGUACUCAUUAACCCGCAGAGCCAUAAAAAAGAAGCUACCCAGGUCUAUUAUGAAAAGGUUGCUCCUCUGCUCCACCUCGCUGGGAUAAAAACCGAUGUCUUGGUAACAGAAUAUGCUGGACAUGCUCUAUCACUGCUUAAGGAAUGUGAUCUCCAGGAAUUCGAUGGGAUUCUGUGUGUCGGUGGUGAUGGGUCCGCUAGCGAAGUGGCCAACGGGCUACUUCUUAGAGCCCAGAUGGAUGCUGGGAAGGACACGGAUUACAUCCUCACGCCUGUCAGAACGACACUUCCUCUCGGCAUAAUACCAGCAGGUUCCACCAAUGUACUGGCACAUUCUCUUCAAGGCAUCACUCAUGUAGUGACGGCAACUCUGCACGUUAUAAUGGGACACGUAAAACCAGUAGAUGUCUGCGUAUUCAGUAGCAUGCAGAACUUUCUUCGCUGUGGAUUCUCAGCUACCUUUGGCUUUGGCGGAAGGACUCUGGCUUGGGCAGAGAAGAAUCGUUGGAUGCCUGCUACGCAACGAAGACAUUUUGCUGUGGUUAAGACGUUGACAAAUCUCAAGCCUACGGACUGUGAAAUAUCAUUUUUACCACUGAGUAACUCACAGGACGUUCAAAGUACCAACCGAGAGAACCAUAGAAUUCCCCAAUUAGACCGUGAUGAUCCAUGGCAGAAGGUCCAAGGAUCAUUCUUAAACGUCAGCAUCGUGGCAUCACCCUGCUUACGUUCAAUGGCACCAGGAGGUGUGGCUCCAAACCCCAGGUUAAAUAAUGGAAGCAUGGCUCUUAUUAUUUCCCGAAACACCUCUCGACCAGAAUUUAUCAAGCACCUGAAAAGAUACUCCAGUGUAAAAAAUCAGUUUAGUUUUCCAUUUAUUGAGACAUAUAAUGUAAAGGAAGUAAUAGUCCGGCCAAGAAAUAACAACAGCGGACGUGUCACGGAAGAAGAAGCUACAGAGAACAAUCACCUAUGGAACAUAGAUGGGGAUUUAAUGGAAGUGUCAUCGGAGGUUCACGUUAGAAUCCACCCUCAGCUUAUCCACUGUUAUGGAGAGAGCUCAGAAGAAUUAAGUGAUCCCAAGGUAGCCUGUGACUGCUUCUAGAAGAAAUUUAUGAAGUAAAAUCAUAUACUCCAAACACUGAACUGAGCACUCGGGAAGACACACCUGAUUCUAUUCUUGAGGAGCUUGCACUCUAGUAAGAGGAGCCAGGCACUAAAAGAAUUUCCAAACAGGAGAAAAAGGAACCCAAGAAUAUGCUCUGCAUUAUUACAACAGAAACAGGCUCAGUGUAAUUUCCUUCGUGGUUGAACAGAAAGUUCCAGAGAGACCAUUUUCACGACAGUGUUUGGCAUGGCAAAGAGUGAAUCCCUAUUUCCCAGAGUUCAGCAUUUAUUCUGUGGAAUGACCAAGUGGAUAAAUGAAAACAAAGAUACCUGGACA